GACGAACGCUGGCGGCGUGCCUAAUACAUGCAAGUCGAGCGCAGGAAACUGACGGAACUCUUCGGAGGGAAGGCAGUGGAAUGAGCGGCGGACGGGUGAGUAACACGUAAGGAACCUGCCUCAAGGAUUGGGAUAACUCCGAGAAAUCGGAGCUAAUACCGGAUAGUUCAUCGGACCGCAUGGUCCGUUGAUGAAAGGCGCUCCGGCGUCACCUUGAGAUGGCCUUGCGGUGCAUUAGCUAGUUGGUGGGGUAACGGCCCACCAAGGCGACGAUGCAUAGACGACCUGAGAGGGUGAUCGGCCACACUGGGACUGAGACACGGCCCAGACUCCUACGGGAGGCAGCAGUAGGGAAUCUUCCACAAUGGACGAAAGUCUGAUGGAGCAACGCCGCGUGAGUGAUGAAGGUUUUCGGAUCGUAAAACUCUGUUGUAAGGGAAGAACACGUACGAGAGGAAAUGCUCGUACCUUGACGGUACCUUACGAGAAAGCCACGGCUAACUACGUGCCAGCAGCCGCAGUAAUAC
rnacentral:rRNA from 1 species